CGACGAGUUUGAUCCUGGCUCAGAUUGAACGCUGGCGGAAUGCUUUACACAUGCAAGUCGAACGGUAGAGGGGGCAACCCCUCGAGAGUGGCGAACGGGUGAGUAAUAUAUCGGAACGUGCCCAGUCGUGGGGGAUAACGUAGCGAAAGUUACGCUAAUACCGCAUACGAUCUACGGAUGAAAGCGGGGGACUCGCAAGAGCCUCGCGCGAUUGGAGCGGCCGAUAUCAGAUUAGGUAGUUGGUGGGGUAAAGGCUCACCAAGCCAACGAUCUGUAGCUGGUCUGAGAGGACGGCCAGCCACACUGGAACUGAGACACGGUCCAGACUCCUACGGGAGGCAGCAGUGGGGAAUUUUUGGACAAUGGGCGCAAGCCUGAUCCAGCCCAUUCCCGCG
rnacentral:rRNA from 1 species